rnacentral:rRNA from 1 species
UACGUAGGGGGCAAGCGUUGUCCGGAAUCAUUGGGCGUAAAGAGCGUGUAGGCGGCUCGGUAAGUCCGCUGUGAAAGCCCACGGCUCAACCGUGGAAGCGCAUCCGAAACGGCCUCGCUCGAGUCUCGGAGAGGAAGGUGGAAUGCUUGGUGUAGAGGUGAAAUUCGUAGAUAUCAAGCAGAACACCUGCGGCGAAGGCGGCCUUCUGGACGAUGACUGACGCUGAGACGCGAAAGCGUGGGGAGCAAACAGG